rnacentral:miRNA from 1 species
UUACGGACCAGCUAAGGGAGGC